UACGAAUUGUGCGAACGUUAUUCGGAAUCACUGGGCUUAAAGGGUGCGUAGGCGGUCAUGUAGGUCUGAUGUGAAAUCCCACGGCUCAACCGUGGAACUGCGUUGGAAACCCCAUGACUGGAGUAGGACAGAGGUGAGCGGAACAGAUGGUGGAGCGGUGAAAUGCGUUGAUAUCAUCUGGAACACCGGUGGCGAAAGCGGCUCACUGGGUCCUAACUGACGCUGAGGCACGAAAGCCAGGGGAGCAAACGGG
rnacentral:rRNA from 1 species